rnacentral:rRNA from 1 species
UAGGGAGUAUUGGUAAUGUGCGAAAGCGCGAACCAGCAACGCCGCGUGCACGAUGAAGGCCUUCGGGUCGUAAAGUGCUUUUAGAGAGGAUGAGGAAGGACAGUACUUUCUGAAUAAGCCUCGGCUAACUACGUGCCAGCAGCCGCGGUAAAACGUAGGAGGCUAGCGUUAUCCGGAUUUACUGGGCGUAAAGCGCAUGCAGGUGGUUUUGUAAGUUGGAUGUGAAAGCUCCUGGCUUAACUGGGAGAGGUCGUUCAAAACUACAAGACUUGAGAUUGGUAGAGGAAAAUGGAAUUCCGGGUGUAGUGGUGAAAUGCGUAGAUAUCCGGAGGAACACCAGUGGCGAAAGCGGUUUUCUGGACCAAUUCUGACACUCAGAUGCGAAAGCUAAGGUAGCAAACG